CAGUCGCCGCGGGAAUACGUAGGUGGCAAGCGUUGUCCGGAAUUAUUGGGCGUAAAGCGUGCGCAGGCAGUCCGCUAAGACAGAUGUGAAAUCCCCGGGCUUAACCUGGGAACUGCAUUUGUGACUGGCGGGCUAGAGUAUGGCAGAGGGGGGUAGAAUUCCACGUGUAGCAGUGAAAUGCGUAGAGAUGUGGAGGAAUACCGAUGGCGAAGGCAGCCCCCUGGGCCAAUACUGACGCUCAUGCACGAAAGCGUGGGGAGCAAACAGGAUUAGAUACCCCUGUAGUCCCUGUCUCUUAUAC
rnacentral:rRNA from 1 species